rnacentral:lncRNA from 1 species
GUGAGAAGAUUAAGAUUAAUAGAUCAAGUCUUUUUCAUCUCUCAAUUCAACUAAUUAAAUCCUUUAAAAUUGUUAUGUCCCUAAAAAUGAAAUAGUUAUGGUGAUAAUUAGGUCAUAGCCUCCUAUUUAGUUGGGUGAUAAUGAGUCCAACAGUUUAGAUGAUCAUUAGAGGUACCACACAUCUAGUGCUCAUCUGACUGUCAGAAUUAUCAUUCAUAAUAUAUUGAUUUAGUUAUCUUUUUGAUGUUGGUCAGGU